rnacentral:lncRNA from 1 species
UACAUAGAGAUAUUAACGUGUCGUGCAAUUUUCUAUCAUCUAGAAGACUCCAGAAGCCACAGGAACGAACCGGAAGCCGAGCGGGCUCGGGGGCAGGGCGCCCGCCAUCCCCUUUGGGCGCCCGCCCAGCUACAGAGUCCAAUCAGGACUCGUUUCGCGGAUGACGCUCCACCGACCUGAAGGAUCAAGGAUAACCGUUCAAUCAAUGUCGGUUUGAACCGACGGCCCAGAUUCACUUGAGGGGACUAUAUAAGCAGACCCCCUGGCCCUUGGAGGAGGCACCCCUUGAUCAUUAUUCAUUAUUCAUAGACAGAGCAAAAGCUAGGGUUUGGAGAUGAGAGCUCUCCUCUCUUCUCUAAACUAGAGUAGAUCUAGAUAGUAGCGAGAUGGAGAGUGAGGGAGGAUUGGAGGAGAGGCCGGCCUAUCGGUUCUUCCUCCGGUUGUACUUCGCCAUGAUCAAGCUCUAAUCAAGCUUGCUCAUGGGAUGACUCUGGUAAUCUACUUCUAAUUCAUUAUGCAAUUACUAAUCAUGUAUGUUCUGGUUCAGAACUCUUUUGAGUACUUUAAUCUAUAGGAUGCUAUAGGUGAGAGUUGUAGUAUAGGUGUAAGCGUGGUGCUUAGACCUAGAUUACUUGUGGAUAUCCCCUGUCUAGCUGGAUCGUGUGGUAGGCCGUGUAGGUGACAGUUACGUUGGUCCCCUGUAGUCCACCUCUUGUUAGCAGGACGGGUAGGGUUUAUCGGCCUAUGGAUAAGCAUCCUUUGUGGAGUAUUCUUAUCACAUGGUUCGUCCCAGACAUAGACACACCCCUUUGAAGUAGAGAAACCAUAGUUAUCCUCUCUAUUCUACUACCAUCGCCUAUAUACUAGAUUGCUCUACUCUCUAUUCCCAUAUUAUCACCCAUUGUUAUCUUACCUUUAAUAUUGUUAUUAUUCAAUUCUACCAUCUUUCCUAUUUACAUUUAUCUAUCUAUCUUAGUUAAGUUAGAGCAUAGUUGGUUCUCCCGUUUCCCUGUGGAUACGAUAAAACCUUUAACCGGGUAAAAGCUUCAACGGUAUCUGUGCGCUUGCGGAUUUAUUUGUGUGCGUAUAAAUACCAUAGUACACUCUAGUGCCAUGCUGGGUAUGACAACCUAGUAUUCAAGUGGUGUUAGCAAGUGUCAACAAGCAUUUUUGGCACCGUAGCCGGGGAGACGGUUGCUGAGUUGACUACGAACUAGCUUAAUCAUUUUCUAAAAAAAAUAUGUAUAUAUUUACUUUUCUUCUUAUCUAAUCCUUGAUCUCUGGUCUAUCAUGAAUUCAAACAUGUCUAUCUACGAAUUUAAUAGACCUAUGGGCAAACAUCUCGAACCACCAAAAUCUUCAAAGCCUAUCAUGACAUCUAGUUAAGAGAUAAGCCCAGAAUACAUAGAAUUUCUUCAAAAACAACCUUUCUCUGGAGAAGGUGAGGAAAACCUAUACACACACCUAAGAGAGUUUUAUCGAGUCGGUAGCCUCCUUCGCAUUGAAGGCAUGUCUGAUGAGACCCUCAAAUGGAAGCUCUUUCCGUUCCCUUUAACGAGAAAAGCUAGACAUUGGUAUAAACUCAACAUAGGAAGUGCUCAUGGAGAUUGGAAGGAGCUAUACAAUAGUUUUCUCUCUAAAUAUUUUCCGAUCUCCAAAGUGGCAGAUCUUCGGCUUGAGAUUCUUUCUUUUAGACAAUUAGAAGAAGAAUCUCUUGGCAAAUCAUGGGACCGCUUUAUUGACCUUACUCUAACUGGCCCAAAGCUUUCUAUUCCAGAACAAGUUCUUCUAUUUCACUUUUUUAACGGCCUUAGUAGGAAAAAUAAGCAAACCCUUCAUGCGGCCUCUGGAGGAUCUUUCCACCACCUAUCCGCUAGUGAAGCUUGGAAUUUGAUUGAUUUAAUGAGCGGAAAGUCUCCUAGAUUUUAUAUCCCUAAGAAAGAGAAAGAACCAGUUCCUAGACAAGAACAAGAAGUUUUGAUAGCCAGAUCACAACCACUUCAAUUCCAAACUUUAGCUAUCGAUCCUAAACCAUCAAUACCCCAAAAUUCUCCAAGAGAGGAAGGAAUUCUGACCUUAAAUCUUUCAGAUACUGAUGGUUUAGACUUCUGGUUCCAUAAGAGACCUUCAAGCAGGGAUAAUUGAAAUCCUUGCAAUAAUGUUUCUCUUAGAGAAUAUCCUGGUUCCUAUUAUGAAGAAGUCGAGGAUGACAUAUCAAGUGAAGGAGAGCUAAGCCAUAUAGAAAAUUCUAUCUGCUCCCCUUCCAUGUUCACAAGUUCUAAAUCCAUCCUUGACCUUAGAGAUCCCUCUUAUCCCUCUUCUUUUUUUAGUCUCAUGAUGAUCCUAGCAAUUCACCAAGACGACCAAACCAUAGGAGUCGUGAAGAUCAUAUGGAUGGCAUGUCAAGUAAUGCCAUAGAAGGAGAGCUAAGCUAUAGUGCUAGGACACCUACUGUCUGAAAGAGGUAUUGAGGUAGACAGAGCUAAAAUUGAAGUAAUUGAACAAUUAACUCCACCUGUGAAUAUAAAAGGAAUUCGAAGCGUUCUUGGCCAUGCUGGUUUUUAUCGCAGAUUCAUAAAUGAUUUUUCAUUUAUUGCUAGACCACUUACUCUUUUUCUAGCCAAGGAUGCUCCUUUCGAAUUUGAUGAUGCAUGCCUAACUUCUUUCAAUUUAUUAAAGAAUGCACUCAUCUCUGCACCAAUCAUUCAACCCCCUGAUUGGUCGUUGCCUUUUGAAAUUAUGUGUGAUGCUAGUGAUUAUGCUGUGGGGGUAGUUUUGGGACAAACUAAAAAUAAGAAGCAUCAUGCAAUUGCUUAUGCCAGUAAAACUUUGACAGGAGCUCAACUUAAUUAUGCAACCACCGAAAAAGAGCUUCUGGCUGUUGUCUUUGCCAUUGAUAAAUUUAGAUCUUAUUUAGUUGGAGCUAAAAUAAUUGUUUACACUGAUCAUUGUAACACCCCAGUGUUAUGGUUGCAUCAAUCACAUGCAUAACAUGAGCAUCAUCAUCUAAUCAAGCAUAUCAUGAUCAUCAUUUACCUUGGGUCAUGUCAUUUUAUGCAAAAAUGUGAUUUAACUUGCUUAAUUAUGCCUCCUAUGCUUGUGUUUGUUUGUACCAUGCUCAUACUUGUGUGCUAUGCCUUGGUAAUUAGUUUAUCUAUGCUUAACUCAACCUUAGGAACAAUGUUCAUGUGAAGUACUUAAGUCAUACUUCCAUGAAUAUGCCCUAGAAACCUCUUUUGCUUAAGCUUUUAAAAAGUGUUUCAUAAAGUGCUUGCAUGUCAAAACUUCCUACUGCAAAGUUGUAGAAAAUUUUAUAAGGAACAAAAGUUGUUUUAUGGCCAUCUCAUCAAAAUGACCACAUCAUGCUCAAAAAGUGCUUGCAAGGCAGUUUUGGGUGCUGUUUUAGCACUUAGCCAAAAUUGGUUAAGUCCUGGCGCCACCAGUUUGCUCGAUCGAUUUUGGAAGCUUCAUAUCUCUCAAUCCAUGCCGAUUUGGCUCUUGCUCUGGUUGAUAGUGUUGUAGAACUUAGCUUGUACUCCAACUUUGUCAACUACAACAUCUCCUAAUUUGUUUUGGUUUGGGAGAUAAUUGCUGUCGAAGUCGCUCUAUCAGACGACCAUCGCCAUGUCUGAAUCGGAACCGAGCUUGUCGACGUGGACGACCGGCGACAGAACAUCGGUGACAUUUGGCGCCCGUACGUCGUCUAUGGCCCCGCUAGUCAGCUCCCAGCGUGCGCAUGACCUUCACGGCGACACCCCGGACGCAGUGGACGCGUCCAUUCUCUCCUCCCUCUCGCUCUCUCGCCAGAAAAGCGGCCGCAGUGAGCUCACCGUCGUGAGCUCACUCCGGCGAGCUCAAAUGCGCUCCUCGCUGUGUUGCUGCCCACCAAAACUUGCCCACAGCUCCUCCGUGCCCCGCUCUCCAUUCUCCACCCACAAACUCGCCGUGAAACUCUCCAGGGAGCCGACAUUUCCAACUUCCCCCAAAUCGGGUCGUCGUGACCUUCUUCUCCGGCAAACUCAAUGCUGAACUCCUCGGAGCCUCUCGUCUUCUCUGGUUAGGUCCUAUAGGUAGCUUAGGUCCUUAGUGAAUGUUUGCGCUACUUGGUGGACGCUCUACCACGCUCACCGUCGCCGGACACGACGCGCAGCGCCGCCGUGUUUCUGCCGGAGUUCGGCUCUCUCGUGGCCAGCUCAUUCCGCACCAUUUCAAGCCUAGUCACCUACCUAGGAAGCUUCGCUGUAGUUCACUGGUGCUGUAGGAAACCCUAGGUUGCGCUCUACCGGCCUGAGAGCUCCGGUGUAACGCCGAGCACCUCCGCCGAGCCGCCAUGGUCGACGGCAAGCCAUUUCCGGUGGCUCCGCCGUGGGGAAAAGGGGGUCACUCGGUUUGCAAGGGUCUGGGGAUCACGUUGGUGCCCUUGGUUUGGUCGGAGACCUCGCCGUCGCGGAGAAAUCGUCGGUGAAUGUCGUCUCGGUCUUGAGGAAGACGACCCUGACACGCGGGACCCGCUGUCAGUGACACAUCGUUUCGCUCCUUUUCUUUUAUUCAAAUCCAGAUUUUUGGCAUUCUUGCAAAAAUCAUAUCUUCUAUUUCUAUGAUCCAAAAAUUGUGAAACAGAUUUUGUGAUGUUCCUUGAGAUGGCUAGUUUUUAACAAAAAUAUAACAUGCACCAUGUUUUUGGGGAAAAUAAUUGUUAUGAUUUAAUCUUGUUAUUUAUGUAUAAAUUCAUAUCUCUUGGUAUACUGCUCCUUUUACUAUGAAAUUUUUAUGCUAUGCUCUGAGUGGUAUAUGAAUGCUAUGAUAAUUAUUUAAUGAUUUUUGGAGUAUUUUAUCUGUGAUAUGUAAUUUAUGUUUGUGAUAUGGCUUGUUUUCAUAUUUAAAUCAUAAUAAAUGUUUGGUCCUUAUGCUGGUGCUCUACUCUGGUGGCAAACUUGUUUAUGGUAAUAGUAACAUGUAAAUAAUCUGAAAUCUGUUGUUUGACACUAUCUAGGCUAUGUUUGUUAAUUUAUGAAAUAAGCACCUUGUCACAUGUUAAAUGCUUAUCUUAAAUUUGGCAUGUGCAUUUGUUCUGAAAAUUUUAUGGUAAUGUCAAGAUGCUAUGCUUGUGCUUGUGUAAUUUGUGUGGAUUUUUCUGAGCACUUUGGCUGGUAUCUUGUAAAUAUGUCCUUUUAUGAAAUUAAUUUAAUAAAUGCCAUGUUAUUAUAUGUUUAGUGGUUAACAUGUGAUGCUCUGGUAACCUUAGGAUAUACUUAUGUUUGAAAGCCAUUUGGUUGGCACUAAUUAUGUUUUGGCUAUGUCUUUAAAUAAUUAAUUAAGGGGUUAAAAGCUGUUCUGGAUAGCAAGGGAGUAAUCCAACCAUUGCUUAAUGAUAGCUUGGUUUUCUGGAAGACUUGUCUAAAUCAGACUUGUUGUAAACUUUAUGAUCUAGCUGUGGUUUAAUUUUGGGAUCAUUUGGUCCAAUAGUUUAAAAGUUAUAGCUCUUCCAAGUUGGGUUCCAGAAAUAGGUGUUUUCUGUUUUUCUGGGACAGAACCUGGAACUUUGUUUAAUUGACUUGUUUAACUAAUGAAUCUUUCUGUGAUGUUAAAGAUGAAAUGUAGACAAUUUCAUAAGCUUUCCAAAAUGUCCUCUUUCAUGUUUCUUGGAUCUGUAUAGCUCCAGUUAUGAUUUAUUCCUUGAGCUGCACUGUUCUUUUGGUCACUGCUGUUGUAGCUUAAUUUGGUAUUCUUGCUAAGUAGUAAUCAUCUUGUGUGAACUUGUUAUGACAGUUACUCCAUAAAUGAGUGUCCAGUGAAGUUCUAAUUAUGUUAUCAAGCAUUCAUCCUCAUCUAGGAUGCACACAUUCUUAUUCAUCGUGCAUUCAAUAGGUGCACCGGAGACGACCACUUCGUUCGAGCUCAAUCAAGCGAACCCCGAGGGCCAGGAGUUCAACCCGGAGGUGGAGGUCCCGCAAGCCGGACACGAGGAGCCCGAAGAGGAGAUCGAGUGCCCUAAUCACGAGCCUGCAUCGUUCGUGAAAGGCAAGCCCCAGAGCAUCUUAAGUCUCCCACUUUAAUUUCGAAAGUUUACUUGAAUAUGUUAUAUCUAUUGAUGCAUUACGUAUAGGAGUUGUGAUGAAACCCUUGCUGCAUUAUCCUUAUUCCUUGUCCAGAUAUCUUGCCAUUGCCUGGUCAUAGAGUUAGGAUCAAGUAGCAGCUUAGCCAUGCUUAAAUCAGUAGAAGUCGGUUGAUGUCCUAUCACCUGCACGAGAUAGGGUUGUGUCGGAUCACGAUUGUCUAUAUGAGCUAUCGUGGAAGGAACCUGAUUAAAAUGACUUAAGCCGGGUGGAGUUUUGCAAGGAUGUAGUAACUCCGUCUAUGGCCGCUAAGGACCGAUCGUUGUACAUCCUCUUGUCAUGUUGAACGCAUGCCUGACACUUAGUUGGCUAGAUAACUCGUUCCGACCGCGAAGCCUGGUAGUAUGACUCAGGCCGGAAGGCCAGCAAGUAUAAAGUGCGCACUACCAGAGAAAGUGCGGUGUGCGGGGGACCAUUGGCGUAAGACCAAAGGCAGGUGAGUUAAAAGUCCUGACCUCCCUGGCACAGUGGUAGCACUGGGAGUGCGGCACUGAUCGGAGCCGCGAUUCCUAAGUUGUACCAAAGGUGACCCGCUUGCUCUCCUUCGGGAGAUGCUUGGGUGAGUGCUAGGAAUAACCCUCCAGCUGGAUAGGAAUCGAUUCGAAUCGCUGUCUCUCGCGGAUAGUCAGAACUUGACAGAGCAGCGGCAAACGUAGCAUUGACUAAGUACAAUGGUUCUUGAUAAUGAUGUUGAUGAUAGCAAGGAAGAACAUAUGAUGAACUUGAUAUGGUUAUUAUUGCUUGUAAUAAUCAAGUGAAGUGUUUUAGUCCAGGUGCUAACCUAGUGAUAGGUUAAUGAUGAUUAAUAGGAUGCUAAUACAAGUAGUAAAGUAAUCACUUAAGCUUUUGGCAAAUUGAGUCAAGCCAGCAACAUUUAUGCUCAAACUUGCAUGAUCCUUGGUGUCUUUUAUGUUUUACUAGACGGGUAAGUCUAGCUGAGUACAUCCUCGUACUCAGGGUUUAUUCCCACCAGUUGCAGAGGAUAUCUUUUAUGAUGGCUUCUGCAAGACCUGUCUCCAUCCCGCUGGGGAUGAAGACUAAACCGUUGGACAAGGUUCUCUGACCACUUCGUACCUGUCGCUUUUGAUGGAUGGCAUAAGACUCUAGCAGAAACAAGAACUAGUGAACUGAACUUUGGAACAUGUGUUGUACAACUAUUUUGCUUCCGCUACAUCAAACUUGUGUUGUAAUAACUAAGUAACUCCGAUGUGUGCUGCUUCGACGGCAAUGUUUGACUAUGUAACAUUCGUUGUGUGAUGUUGAACUAUUACGAUCUUGGUUUGUUGCAAGUUGGUUUGAAGUCCUUCGUGAUUUCAGUUGACUAUCGGGAUUAUAUGGGCUCAUGUUUGGAAACUUGAUUCCUAGUCGAUCGUUUCUACACUUGAACUCUUAUAAUUUGGUCAGUUCUGUGACAAUCAUGCUGCACUAAAAUAUCUGCUCACUAAAAAAGAUGCUAAACCUCACUUGAUUAGAUGAAUCUUAUUACUUCAAGAAUUUGACUUAGAAAUAAAAGAUAAAAUGGGAGUAGAAAAUUCUGUGGCUGAUCACUUGUCUAGAAUGUAUUUUAAGAAUCCACAGGAAACCCCCAUCAAUGAUUCACUCCAGGACGACAUGCUCUACGGGAUUAACAGGUCUGAUGCCUGGUAUGAGAUAUUGUUAAUUUUAUGGUUUCAGGGUAUGUACCACCAGGAGCAAACAAGAAGAAGCUUAUUCACGAAAGUCGUUCACAUAUAUGGGAUGAGCCAUACCUCUUCCGAGUAUGCUCUGAUGGCUUACUCAGGAGAUGUGUGACCAUCGAGGAAGGAUGGAAGAUCAUUGACAAAUGUCAUUCAUCACCAUAUGGAUGUCAUUAUGGAGCAUUCCGUACACAUUUAAAGAUCUAGCAGUGUGGAUUCUACUGGCCUACAAUGUAUGAAGACACGAAGCAAUAUAUCAGAAGAUGUGGGCCAUGUCAAAGGCACGAAAACAUAAAUACAAGAGAUGCCAUGCCACUCACUAACAACCUUCAAAUUGAGCUCUUUGAUGUCUGGGGAAUAGACUACAUGGGUACAUUUCCCCCAUCAAAGGAGUGUGAGUUCAUCUUGGUUGCAGUUUACUACAUCUCCAAGUUGGUAGAGGCACUACCUUGCAAGCACGCCGACAACAUCAGUUCAAAGAGGAUGUUUGAAGAAGUUAUAUUUACAAGAUUUGGAGUUCCCAGAGUAGUGAUAAGUGAUGGAGGAGCACACUUCAUCGACAAACGCUUCAAGCACUAUCUAUCAAAACAUGGAAUCUGUCACAACGUCGCUACCCCCUACCAUCCUCAGACAAGUGGCCAAGUAGAGACUUCCAACAAGCAAAUCAAGAAUAUUCUUCAGAAAACAGUCAAUGAGAUGGGAACAGCAUGGAAAGACAAGUUACCCGAUGCACUCUGGGCAUACCGGACAGCGUACAGGACUCCAAUUGGAAUGUGCCGAUACCAAUUGGUGUACGAGAAGACUUGCCACCUACCUGUUGAACUAGAAUUCAAAGCACACUGGGCCAUAAGGAGAUGGAAUAUGGACUUAGAUGUCGCUGGAGAUCAUAGAAGAAUGCAACUAUCAGAAUUGGAAGAAUGGCGAGAGAAAGCAUAUCACAAUUCGAAGAUCUACAAAGAAAGAGUCAAAAGGUGGCAUGACAAGAGGAUCAAGAAGGAGUUCGCACCCAGAGAUUAGGUAUUACUUUUUAAUUCCAGGGUGAAGCUUUUUGGGCAUGGAAAACUCCGGAGUAAAUGGGAAGGACCAUUCAAAGUAAUCAAUUCAUCAUCCCAUGGAGCUAUCACACUUUAAAAUAACGAAGGUACGUUAUUCAAGGUAAAUGGUCAACGUCUUAAAUUAUUUUUAGAGCCCAAUAAAGAAUUAAAAGAAAUAGACGUGAUCCAUUUCUACCUUCCCAUCGAGAUUUAGAGCCCGACCUUUUCAAUCUGACAUUUUUGGGUCACAUAUAUAUUUUUCAAAUAAGUUUUGCAUCUAGAAGCACGCUCGAGGAAGCGUGCCCACAGAGGGGCCAGGCAUAGGGCGGGCUCCCUGAUGAAGAGGGCGGGCGCCUAGCCCCUAUCUCCUCUCAUUCUCAAUUUCCUCCGUCGCGAUAAACCCAUUUAUGGUAAACUAAAUAAUCAUACAGAUGGAAAGUUUCGCACGCAUGGCGGCGGGAGUAGCCCGAGCAAACCCUAGAGGCACUUUUUGACCCCUAUAUAAACAGACCCCCGACGUCAGUUUUCAAACACCAAUUCAUACAAGCCUUCUCUCUUUCUUCUAUUAGAGCUUGCUUAGUCCCUCACUGCUCCAAUGGCUGAAGAGUUCCACGAUGAUUGGGAGGUCGUCCCCUUCGAUCUCAACAAGAAGCCCAAGGAAGACCCCGACGCCUAUGCUCUCGUCCCGGCCAAAACAGAGCGACGGCUAGCAGCCAUGCCACCACGCCAGCGUAGCUCCACCCAAUCCUACCAUGCUCAACCAGUUCUCACUGCACCACCGCAGCCCCUACUUCUUUGAAGGGACCAUUAGCCAAGAAGGAGGCCACCGUCAAGGUGCCAGCCAGCACGAGGAUCCUUCCACCCAGGCCCAAUGAGCGGGUCGUUGGAGUCAAGACCAACCGGAGCGGCGAGAUUAGCAGCAUCCGCUACACUAUGGAGGAGGAGAGGCCUUACUUUGAGGGGGUUAGAGCAGCCAAAGUCCGCUUCAUCCCUCCAAAGACAGCCCCGAACCACGCUCUCAAUGCUCUCGAGACACCUCCUAAGCAUCGCAAGACUAUAGUAGAUGUUGAUGAGGACGUUCGUAGGCUAGACAAGGUCAUCAUAGAGCUCCAGUCCUCAGUUAACUCUUUCACUAGGCAGCUCUCUAACCAGAACACUGUUAUACUAGGACUUAGGCAUGAUCUUGCUAGUGCCAAUAAGAAGAUCAGAGAGUUAGAGCGCCGCUAAGUUAUCUAAAUUCGAUCUUGAGGCAGUGCAUCUUAGUUAUUCAUCUUUGAAUUCGAUUUAGAUCUAUUAUUAGCUUUAGUUCAUUUCUAGUCAUUUGUAAAAAAUGCCUCAAGAUUAAUAAAGAUUAUUAUUAUUAUUAUUAUUAUUAUUAUUAUUAUUAUUAUUAUUAUUAUUAUUAUUAUUAUUAUUAUUAUUAUUAUUAUUAUUAUUAUUAUUAUUAUUAUUAUUAUUAUUAUUGUUAUUAUUAUUAUGUCUUGUAUGUCUCUACUGUAUUUUAUGCAAGAAAACAGAAAACAAGUAUGGGGGAGAUCCCUCGACAUGCCAAAUGCACUUCGACUACACCACUCCACGAUUCAGGUACAUACUCUGCACACUUUAGACAUACACAUAUAUCUUGAUUUGUGCAGAAUAUUGUCUCCGACAUGAUAAAUUAACAAGAUUAAAAUGUUUCUAAUCAUGAUUAAUCUCACUCUGUGAUAUUUCCUGAAAACUUGAAAUCAUUAAAAAUCAUUUAAAAACCCUGUGUUACUUAAGUCAUUGUGGAAUGUGAGAUGGUAGAGUAUGAGUACCUUAUUCUUGAUAUCGUUGUUGCUUGGAGAAUUUAUUUCAAAAUCUUCAAACAUUUUAGCUACCAUCCUUAGUGUUAUAUAUGCCUGGUAAACCUAAAAAUAUUAAUUAUAAUAAUUAUAAAAGCUAUCUGCUCUGUAUUGAGUUUGUUCAAAAUGAGUUAGACCCUUGUUGAGAGAUUUAUCAUACUCCUAAGAUCAAGACAUUUAUUCAGAAAGAUUCACUCUUCCGAAGUAUUAUUGCAUUAGAGGCAUGGGCUAUGUAAAAAUAUGAAUAUUUCGAGGAAAUAAAAAGGAGCAAGUGCUCGACAACAUCACAGAAAAAAUGGACAAGUGUCCGGUAGUAGAAUUAGGGGUACCUCGGUAUCCACCAAAAAAAAGGAAAAAAAAAGAGAAAAUGAUAGCUCAUGGUCCCUCUAAUAAGCAAUAUGCCAGUAAGAGUUGACAAGUUUUUAAUUACCAAAGUCUUUGAUCUAAGAGUAUGGCAUUCCUCUCCUCGGAUCCCGUUUUGAUCAAGAAAUAAUUGCAAGGUAAGAAUGCUUGAGAAUUUUUUGCAAAUUAAAAAGCCUCAGUGAGAUAUAUAAAAGAUAAUGAGUGACCUGAGAACCUAUGAGGAUAAUGGUAUGCUAAAUUUCUUUUCAAAAAUAUACAAAAACUCCAAGUGACAGAGUUGAGAAGAAGAUAGGAUCUCUACUCUUGACCAUAUAUUUCCCUGACUACGGUACACAGUGAAUUUUUACAACACCCUGCAAGUAUGAAGAGAAUGUUUUACAAUGUUUUAACCCCAGAUAUUUUUCUUAACCAUCCUUUUCUCGAGGACGAGUAAAUGGCUAAGUAUGGGGUAUUUGUUGACAGUUCUUAAGUAUCAAUUUUAAUUAUGAAAUAAACAAGGAAAAGGACCAAUAUACAAGACCCACCUAGAAUUAGGGUUUGAUCUGACAGAAUUCCACGAGUUUUGUUGUUUAUCUAUUUCUACAGGGGGUUAUCAGGAAAUAUGGAAGAAAGGCCCAUAUGUCGGGUUUACAGAGAGAUAUUAACAUGCACCGCGAUUAUUCAACAUCUAGAAGAGUCCAGAAGCCACGGGAACAAACGGGAGGCCGAUCGGGCCCGGGGGCAGGGCGCCCGCCCUCCCCCCUUGGGCGCCCGCCCUCCUCUGCUGGCCAAUCAGCACGAGUCUCGUGGAUUAUGCUCCACCGACCUAAAGGAUCAAGGAGAACCAUUCAAUCAAUGUCGGUUUGAUCUGACGGCCCAGAUUCAUCUGAAAAGACUAUAUAAGCAAGGCCCCCUGGCCCCUAGAGGAGAGAAUCUAAUUAUUCAUUAGCAUAUUUUCCAGAGAGGAUUCAGAGAGAGAGGUUCCUUAGGGUUCCCAUCUCAUAGGGCAUAGCAUCCAAUGUGAGAGUAGACUAGUUCUAUUAGAUUGAGAGAGAUAGAGUGGAGGUGUAGAUCGGAGGAAGCCUGGCCUGUCGCUGUCUACUCCAAGGUUGUACCUGCGGUAUCAAGUCUCCUAACCCGAGGCUUGCUCCUAGGAUUCUUUAGUAUUUCGACUUGUAAAUUCUAGUAAGUUCUUUGUUUUAUUGUUCUUUGGUUUAUGAGUUUACUUUGAUCUCUUCGCAUAGAGUUUAGAAUAAUCAUCUCUAGCGUAAACGUGGUGUUUGGGCUAGGAUACUCAUAGAUAUCCCGUGACUAGCUGUACCAUGGUAGUAGCGAGGAACGUGACAUUUCUGAGUUACCUUUGUAGCACAUAUCCCGUUAGCAGGAUCGAUAGGUGUUGACGGUCCUUAAGUACCAAAUAUAAUCAUCAAAUAAAUAAAGAAAAGGAUCAAAAUACAACCAACGCCGAGACUUAGGGUUUUAUCUGACAGAAUUCCACGAGUUUUGGUAUUUGUCUAUUUCUACAGGGGGUUAUCAGGAAAUAUGGAGGAAAGGCCCACACGUCGGGUUUACAUAGAGAUAUUAACGUGCCGUGCAAUUUUCUAUCAUCUAGAAGACUCCAGAAGCCACAGGAACGAACGGGAAGCCGAGCGGGCUCGGGGGCAGGGCGCCCGCCCUCCCCCUUUGGGCGCCCGCCUAGCUACAGAGUCCAAUCAGGACUCGUUUCACAGAUUACGCUCCACCGACCUGAAGGAUCAAGGAUAACCGUUCAAUCAAUGUCGGUUUGAUCCGACGGCCCAGAUUCACUUGAGGGGACUAUAUAAGCAGACCCCCUGGCCCCUGGAGGAGGCACCCCUUGAUCAUUAUUUAUUAUUCAUAGACAGAGCAAAAGCUAGGGUUUGGAGAUGAGAGCUCUCCUCUCUUCUCUAAACUAGAGUAGAUCUAGAUAGUAGCGAGAUGGAGAGUGAGGGAGGAUUGGAGGAGAGGCCGGCCUAUCGGUUCUUCCUCCGGUUGUACUUCACCAUGAUCAAGCUCUAAUCAAGCUUGCUCAUGGGAUGACUCUGGUAAUCUACUUCUAAUUCAUUAUGCAAUUACUAAUCAUGUAUGUUCUGGUUCACAACUCUUUUGAGUACUUUAAUCUAUAGGACGCUAUAGGUGAGAGUUGUAGUAUAGGUGUAAGCGUGGUGUUUGCCCUAGAUUACUUGUGGAUAUCCCCUGUCUAGCUGGAUCAUGUGGUAGGCCGCGUAGGUGACAGUUACGUUGGUCCCCUGUAGUUCACCUCUUGUUAGCAGGACGGGUAGGGUUUAUCGGCCUAUGGAUAAGCAUCCUUUGUGGAGUAUUCUUAUCACGUGGUUCGUCCCAGACAUAGACAUACCCCUUUGAAGUAGAGAAACCAUAGUUAUCCUCUCUAUUCUGCUACCAUCGCCCAUAUACUAGAUUGCUCUACUCUCUAUUCCCAUAUUAUCACCCAUUGUUAUCUUACCUUUAAUAUUGUUCUUAUUCAAUUCUACCAUCUUUCCUUUUUACAUUUAUCUAUCUAUCUUAGUUAAGUUAGAGCGUAGUUGGUUCUCCCGUUUCCCUGUGGAUACGAUAAAACCUUUAACCGGGUAAAAGCUUCAACGGUAUCCGUGCGAUUGCAGAUUUAUCUGUUUGCGUAUAAAUACCAUAGUACACUCUAGUGCCAUGCUGGGGAUGACAACCUAGUAUUCAAGUGGUGUUAGCAAGUGUCAACAAGCAUUUUUGGCGCCGUUGCCGGGGAGACGGUUGUUGAGUUGACUACGAACUAGCUUAAUCAUUUUCUCUAAAAAUAUAUAUAUAUUUACUUUUCUUCUUAUCUAAUCCUUGAUCUCUGGUCUAUCAUGAAUUCAAACAUGUCUAUCUACGAAUUUAAUAGACCUAUGGGCACACAUCUCAAACCACCAAAAUCUUCAAAGCCUAUCAUGACAUCUAGUUAAGAGAUAAGCCCAGAAUACAUAGAAUUUAUUCAAAAACAACCUUUCUCAGGAGAAGGUGAGGAAAACCUAUACACACACCUAAGAGAGUUUUAUCGAGUCUGUGACCUCCUUCGUAAUGAAGGCAUGUCUGAUAAGACCCUCAAAUGGAAGCUCUUUCUGUUCUCUUUGACGGGAAAAGCUAGACAUUGGUAUAAACUCAACAUAGGAAGUGCUCAUGGAGAUUGGAAGGAGCUAUACAAUAGUUUUCUCUCUAAAUAUUUUCCGAUCUCCAAAGUGGCAGAUCUUCGGCUCGAGAUUCUUUCUUUUAGACAAUUAGAAGAAGGAUCUCUUGGCGAAUCAUGGGACCGCUUUAUUGACCUUACUCUCACUGGCCCAAAGCUUUCUAUUCUAGAACAAGUUCUUCUAUUUCACUUUUUUAAGGGCCUUAGUAGGAAAAAUAAGCAAACCCUUCCUGCGGCCUCUGGAGGAUCUUUCCACCACCUAUCCGCUAGUGAAGCUUCGGAUUUGAUUGAUUUAAUGAGCGGAAAGUCUCCUAGAUUUUAUAUCCCGAGAAAGAGAAAGAACCAGUUCCUAGACAAGAACAAGAAGUUUUGAUAGCUAGAUCACAACCACUUCAAUUCCAAACUUUAGCUAUCGAUCCUAAACCAUCAAUACCCCAAAAUUCUCCAAGGGAGGAAGGAAUUCUGACCUUAAAUCUUUCAGAUACUGAUGGUUUAGACUUCUGGUUCCAUAAGAGUCCUUCAAGCAGGGAUAAUUCAAAUCCUUGCAAUAAUGUUUCUCUUAGAGAAUGUCCUGGUUCCUAUUAUGAAGAAGUCGAGGAUGACAUAACAAGUGAAGGAGAGCUAAGCCAUAUAGAAAAUUCUAUCUGCUCCCCUUCCAUGUUCACAAGUUCUAAAUCCAUCCUUGACCUUAGAGAUCCCUCUUAUCCCUCUUCUUUUUAGUCUCAUGAUGAUCCUAGCAAUUCACCAAGACGACCAAACCAUAGGAGUCAUGAAGAUCAUAAGGAUGGCAUGUCAAGUAAUGCCAUAGAAGGAGAGCUAAGCUAUAUAGAAGAUUCUAUCAGCUCCCCUUUCCUGAUCACAAGUUCCAAAUGGCUAGAAUGUGUAGAAUGGAUGGAUAAGGAAGAAGCCUUAAUGGAUUCUGACUUUGGCUCAAUUUCAAAUGGUGAUUUCUUGACUCCCUUUGAAGAUGGGAUUCAUCCAACUACAGCAGAGGACAGAGGUGAGACCAAUCCAGGAGAAACUCUGAACAUUCAGAUUGGAGACGAAGACAACAUUAAUGAGCAUGGAAUUUAUUUCAUAGCCACUUCGUUUACUCCAUGCUCAUAUGGAACAUCUUCCCAAUCUAUUGGUCUCUCCAACAUCACCACAUUUGAGAUCUCCAACCCCCUCUUCCUUUCUAUUUAUAAAAACUUUAAAAGGGCAGUUGUCGAUGAAUAUGUCUAUAAUAAAUAUUGCAGAUCUCGUUGAGUUGAUCUUGAUAUAGGUCAGCGUUGGAAGGGAAACCACUUCGCCGACAUAAAUUGAUGGUUUCCCAAGGACAAGCUUAGUGUCCUAAAAUAAGCACUGAUCAGAUCGUAACAUGACCAUGCCAUAUUGCCUUGUGCAUUGAGCGUAUAACGAUAAUUGUAAAAAUAUUCCUUCGGGUACUCUUGUCACUAACCUUUCUAGGAUUGGAGCAAGAAGAUUGGAUGAAUGACAAGCACAAGGUAUAUCCAACCAAUCAUCAUACAACAUUGAAUUAAAUCCAAACUUGAAUUUUGCAAAAUUCAAGCUUGGGGGAGUACUUUACAUAAAAACAUCCUUUGCCAUGUUGCUAUGUUGGUUGUCCCUACCCUUGAGACAUGCUCAGUUUGUUAAAUAUUAAUCAAACUAGUUCAUCUCCACUUGAGUAGAUCUCUAUAAAUGCCAUCACACUACCUUUGUUUAUCCUAGUAAGUGUUAGUUUGGAAGUACUGCACAUACUUCUAUUGGCUUUUAAAUUGAGCAUGGUGCUUAGGUUAAAUAGCCUUCCUUAAUCUGAUUAGACAUGAAGUCUAGUUCGGUUAUUGAACUAAAAACUGCUUGUGUAGACAUUGGUAUAUUUUGUCACACUAACCCCUGUAGAAAAACUUUCAAUAUCGAUCUGGGAAGCUUUGAGAUAAACUCACAUUGGAGACAAAGAGAGAGACACAUCAAGUUUAACAAUUUGCACAAGAAGGACAUAGCUGAUUCAUCAUAGAGAGAUGAUCCAUGGAAGGAGACAAAGUACAUAAACAAGAUACACAACCACUACGAAUGGGAAGCUUCCACAAGGUGAGAUGGUACCAUCACUCUUCAAUUAAGGUAACAUCUUAAGAUAUGUGACUAUCACUUUUAUAAGCUUCUCCUUGGUUCUGGUGUUCACAUAAAUAAAGAGACAAACAUAAAUUAACCAACCCAAUUAAUUCAACAUGUUUAGUCCGUUAAUCUUUGUUCUUAGUACUACCUUCAUGAUCCCACACUCCUAAUCAUAUGAGCUAAAAUGUUGCACACUCAAUCUUUGGAAGAUAUAUAAUAAAACAUAGAUAUAGAUAGAUUAUCUUUCCAUUAGGUUGAGCGAUCUGAUCUGACAAAUGUUUUAAAUACUACACUCAUCGAUCUUAUUAUCCAUCAAAUUUGUCUUGCUCACUAUGCUUAAGGUUAGAGAAGAACAAAUACACUUUUGGUUCUGUUGGUGUUUUCCACCAACAGGGCCCAUGCACUUGAUCUCUGCCUUGUCUCUAUGAGCAGGAACACUUGGAGCAAAACAUGGUGGAGUUUUACAACUCCCAGACUCCAACAAGUGAAGGACCUGGAUCUACAAGCACAAACACACUGAGUAGGAUGCUGCCAACGCCGCACUCCGAACUGCUGGGCAAACGAAGAACAUGGGUGACACCGUAUCAAGAGGUGCAGACGUCAAGGUACACACCUGAAUCAAAUGACGCAACUAAAUAAUAAACACGGUGAAAAGUCUUGAUCAGAAGACUUAAAACAUUGAACCCUCGCCGAAAGGUAAAAUCGGUAGUUAUCCAUAUUUAUCCUUUCUGCAUUCCAUUUUCCCUUAAAUUAUUUACUUUCCAUAAAUGGCUUGUUAGUUAAUCAUACUAUCUUGAAAAGAAAAUAAAAAGGUUAGAAAUAGUAAGCCCCAUGUGAGUAUACUUGUGGUUUAAAACCCAUAGGUAUAUUGACUGUGGUGGCAUAAAAUAAAUAUGUUUUCAUCUUACAAUAAAAAUAUAAAAAUAAUAAGUGCAUGAUCCUACUAAAUAUAUAACAUUUAUUAGGAGGAAUCUCAAUAUGAUAAAGGCUAAGAGAUUUUAUGCUAACACUUAACCAGAUCCACAAAACUCUGUUGUCUAUUUGAGCUCCACAGAAUUCAAGGAUCAAAGAAGACUAGCAAACAGAGGACAUCCUAAUUGCGGUCAGGGUGCUGCCGACAUUCAAAUACACCUCCGUCACCUGCUAGCUACAUCAGAAGAAAUUACGUCAAAAUCCAGCUUGGAGGAGAGCACCCCCAUUUAUCCAGCUAAGUGUUUCUACUCGCGUUUAUACUUUACUCAAAUAAUAAAAAGAUGCAUAAUCAUAAAAACCCAAAUAAAGAUUUUUGCGCUUAUUUAUAUACCUUUGCUUAGUUUGCUAAAUAAAUAAAUAAAUGAAGUUUGCUAUGAACCCUCAUGACAAGCUCUCACAUAGAAAUGAUGAAUAGUUGCUCUGCCAUGAUAGUUCUCAAAAUUGAAAUCUCUCUCAAGUUUAGGCAUGACUGUUAUGAAUUAAGAUUUGCUUUAAACCUAAACUUGUGGGAAGAGUACUUGAUCUAAAGUCUAAGUCAUUAACGCAUACGAUAUGGGAAGGUUGAGCUGCUACUUAUCUGUUCCUAGAGAUGCUAGAAUUCUAGAGAAUUUUAUCUUUGAAAAUAUUUAAAAUGUUGCAUGAUGAGAGUUUAAAAUCCCACCACAGCCAUAUAUAUAUGCUUAUUAGACUAUGAUCCAUACAUUUACUUUUUACUGCUUAUGAGCAUUGAGUGUGGUCAAGCUGUGUAGACCCUUAGGAGCUUGUCAUGCGGUUAAAAUCAAGAUUCACUUGCACGUUCACUCAUACAUGCUGCUUCUACUACAGAAGUACGCGUCUACAUAUAUCCAUUCCAUCUCCAGAUCCACCCAAAAUUAUUCUACUCCUAUCCAGGAGAGAAUAGCCAAAAACAUUAUCCUAUCCCUGUUAUUCCCCGUGAAAUAAAUGCUCGAGAUAUUUUGGUUACUACUUGCUACAUUAUUCCAGGAGGGUGAGUGCUCUGAAAAAAAGAGAGAGAAAAAAAAUACGAGGAAAUAAAAAGGGGCAAGUGCCCGGAACCUCGAAGAAAAGAAAAAGUGAAACGAGAGGUAAAAAUGGACAAGUGUCCGACAGUAGAAUUAGGGGUACAAGAUACCCACCUAAGAGAAAACAAAAAGAAAAUAUAGAGCAUAUCAUCCCCUCAAAAAGCUUCAAAGUGCAAGAAAGGUAUGUAUCCCUCAAAAGAGCAAAAGUAGAAUUAGACUUUCACCAUUAUUUUCACCAUUAUCACCAUCAUCACCAUACACCAUUCAUCCGCCACACAUGCACAUCUUGAUUUGACUUAUUGACUUGUUUCUCUGGAUCCAUGGUUUAACUAUGCAAUAAAUGUCUUGUAAGUAUAUAUUAGCUGUCUCCCACCUAUGAGCUCCAGAUAUCAAAACCUUGUUAGAGUAGGGUGAGAGAGAAGGCAAUAUCAUUAUGCCUCAUACCACAAAUACCACAUACUUUGACAGAAGGCAUAUAUCAUCACUGCCUUGGUAAGGAUCCACAAAUACCACAAAAGAGAGACUAGAGAGAGUCAUACAAGGAAUCUCUGAGUUUUAUUUGAAAAUCUGCAAAAACUCCAGAGCUAUAGUUGAUCAAAGAACAAGAGACAUGGUGCUUGACUUGACCGUUCUAUCUUUUAACUGCUGAAGACACAAGUGACGGUUGUAAGCCCCAUGGUGGAAGGUAAUAUGAGUAAGUUUAAAUCUUAAUAGUUUACCUUAACGAUCUUGUUUGAACGCAUGUGUACCUUUAAGGCAUGAAACCACCGCAGGAACUCUUGAGUCCAUCCUUGCUCAGGGACGAGCAACAGGUAAGCUUGGGGGAGUUGUUGAUGGUCCUUAAGUACCAAAUAUAAUCAUCAAAUAAAUAAAGAAAAGGAUUCAAAUACAACCAACACCCAGACUUAGGAUUUUAUCUGACAGAAUUCCACGAGUUUUGGUGUUUGUCUAUUUCUACAGGGGGUUAUCAAGAAAUAUGGAGGAAAGGCCCAUACGUCAGGUUUACAUAGAGAUAUUAACGUGCCGCGCAAUUUGCUAUCAUCUAGAAGACUCUAGAAGCCAUAGGAACGAACGGGAAGCCGAGCGGGCUCGGGGGCAGGGCGCCCGCCCUCCCCCCUUGGGCGCCCACCCAGCUAUAGAGUCCAAUCAGGACUCGUUUCGCGGAUUACGCUCCACCGACCUGAAGGAUCAAGCAUAACCGCUCAAUCAAUGUCGGUUUGAUCCGACGGCCCAGAUUCACUUGAGGGGACUAUAUAAGCAGACCCCCUGGCCCCUGGAGGAGGCACCCCUUGAUCAUUAUUCAUUAUUCAUAGACAGAGCAAAAGCUAGGGUUUGGAGAUGAGAGCUCUCCUCUCUUCUCUUAACUAGAGUAGAUCUAGAUAGUAGCGAGAUGGAGAGCGAGGGAGGAUUGGAAGAGAGGCCAGCC